GUGGGGAAUAUUGGACAAUGGGCGAAAGCCUGAUCCAGCCAUGCCGCGUGUGUGAAGAAGGUCUUCGGAUUGUAAAGCACUUUAAGUUGGGAGGAAGGGCGCUCGGUGAAUACCCAGGCGUCUUGACGUUACCGACAGAAUAAGCACCGGCUAACUUCGUGCCAGCAGCCGCGGUAAUACGAAGGGUGCAAGCGUUAAUCGGAAUUACUGGGCGUAAAGCGCGCGUAGGUGGUUCGGCAAGUUGGAUGUGAAAGCCCCGGGCUCAACCUGGGAACCGCAUCCAAAACUACUGGGCUAGAGUACGGUAGAGGGUGGUGGAAUUUCCUGUGUAGCGGUGAAAUGCGUAGAUAUAGGAAGGAACACCAGUGGCGAAGGCGACCACCUGGACCGAUACUGACACUGAGGUGCGAAAGCGUGGGGAGCAAACAGGAUUAGAUACCCUAGUAGUCC
rnacentral:rRNA from 1 species